AAAGAUUAAGCCAUGCAUGUCUAAGUACAUGUGUAAUUUAACACGAAACCGCGUAUGGCUCAUUAUAACAGCUAAAAUUUACUUGAUUUUGACUUUUAUCCUACAUGGAUAACUGUGGUAAUUCUGGAGCUAAUACAUGCAUAAAAGAUAUAACAUUGAUAUGUUAUAUUGCGUAUAUUAGUAUUAAAACCAAGCAUUCUUCGGAAUGUUUUGUGUUGAAACUGAAUAUAUCAUGCUGAUCGUAUGGUCCUGUACCGACGACAUGUCAUUCAAGUGUCUGAUCUAUCAACUUUCUAUAUAAGUAUAUAGUACUUAUAUGGUUUUGACGGAUAACGGGGUAUUAGGGUACGACUCCGGAGAAAAUGCCUGAGAAACGGCGUUUACAUCCAAGGAAGGCAGCAGGCGCGAAAAUUACCCACUCUCAGUACGAGGAGGUAGUGACGAGAAAUGACAAGAUCUAUUCCUUCGGGGAUGGAUCAUUGGGAUGGUUUGAUUUUAAAAUCAUUAAAGAGUAUCAAUGAGAGGGCAAGUCUGGUGCCAGCAGCCGCGGUAAUUCCAGCUCUCAUACUGCAUUGAAUUGCUGUUGCGGUUAAAAAGCUCGUAGUUGGAUCUGUACAUGAUAGGUUAGUUCAUCCUUUGGAUUGUAACUAAUACUAAAUGUUUUUUAUUAGAUUUUUUAUUUUUUUACGAAAAUAAAUGUCUAAUGAGUUUACUUUGAAUAAAUCAGGGUGCUCAAAACAGGCGUAAGCUUGUAUGGUUUUGCAUGGAAUAAUAGAACAUGACUAUGGUUCAUGUUUUAUUGGUUUUACUUACCAUAGUAAUGAUUAAAAGGAACAAACGGGGGCAUCCGUAUCGCAGGGCGAGAGGUGAAAUUCGUGGACCCCUGCGAGACGAACUACAGCGAAAGCAUUUGCCAAGAAUG
rnacentral:rRNA from 1 species